rnacentral:rRNA from 1 species
ACUCCUACGGGAGGCAGCAGUGGGGAAUUUUGGACAAUGGGCGAAAGCCUGAUCCAGCAAUGCCGCGUGUGUGAAGAAGGCCUUCGGGUUGUAAAGCACUUUUGUCCGGAAAGAAAUCCUUGGCUCUAAUACAGUCGGGGAUGACGUACCG